rnacentral:rRNA from 1 species
GAUGAACGCUAGCGGCAGGCCUAAUACAUGCAAGUCGAACGUGAUUGUUGUAGCAAUAUGACAUGAAAGUGGCGCACGGGUGCGUAACACGUAUGCAAUCUACCUCUAAUAGGGGGAUAGCUUCGAGAAAUCGGAAUUAAUACCCCAUAACAUUACGAAAUGGCAUCAUUUUGUAAUCAAACCUCCGGGGAUUAGAGAUGAGCAUGCGGAACAUUAGCUAGAUGGUGAGGUAAUAGCUCACCAUGGCAACGAUGUUUAGGGGGUUUGAGAGGAUGACCCCCCACACUGGUAAUGAGACACGGCACAGACUCCGUCGGGAGGCAGCAGUAGGGAAUAUUGGGCAAUGGAGGCAACUCUGACCCAGCCAUGCCGCGUGCAGGAUGACGGCCCUCUGGGUUGUAAACUGCUUUUAUACGGGAAGAAAAAAUACUACGUGUAGUAUACUGACGGUACCGUAAGAAUAAGGAUCGGCUAACUCCGUGCCAGCAGCCGCAGUAACAC